rnacentral:lncRNA from 10 species
AAAGGUUAAUUGGCAAUUAUCUUUUGCAAAGUCUGUGGUGCUCAUCUGAAAAGAUGACGAUCACUUCUUAUUUAGUGGAAAGACAAUAAAUAGUUGAUAAGUAAUAGUCUUCCAUCAGGGAGUUUUGUAAUGAGAAACCCUGACUCCUCAGUUCCCCAGUGGAUGACUGCAGUUCACUCUCGGUCUUUGCUAUUGUGUUACCUGCUUAUCCAUUUUGUUACCUUUUAAUGCAUUACAUAAAUGCAUAAAUAUUCUUUAAUAAUGGUGCUUUCCUCACAUCUAUGCCAUCCGUGUUCAUCAAGAUCUUCUUUCAGUUUCUUUGACAACUAAAACUGUACAUAUGUAUUGUGUAUGGCGUAAUAUUUCUACUGCACAGCAUUGCUUUACACAAUGUGGUAAAAACUAUGGACUCUCCCAGGAAAAUGCACACACACCGUACCCCUGUCUCAUAAGGCAGUUUAUAGUUUCAAAGUGCAUGGAGCCCGUCCUGCACACCAUUCUCCCACACCCCGCUCCAGCGCCUCUCCCUGAGUUACAGACCUCACUGUGGGCCCCCGGGGAACCAGCGCAGAGGUUUAAGCGGUGUGGGGUCAACUCCAAGGGUCAGGAGUUGGCAACUGGUUGGUUCCCCAUAUAAUUGAUGCCCCCGACACAGCAUCUCCCCGAACCAAUAAUAGAAGCUUCUGACUCCUUCGCCCACCCUUCUGACUUCUUCUUGCUUCUCCCAUGGAAGCAGGUGUGGGAACCGCUGAGCGGAACACCCUCCCCCAGCGGGAAAUCCGGGACACGCAGGAGCCUCAGUGAAUCCGACCAUUGUCUCAUCUCACCAGGUCACCCGGCUGGAAAGAGUGGCAGAGCCCCGUCUGGUCAGGAACUGGGUUGGGAUGAGCUCCCCGGACAAGCGGCUGGAUGAUGUCUUGUACCUGUUGGAGAGACUGCAGUCUGAUGUCUUGAACAGCUGUUGCCUGCCAAAAUGGACAAAGAACCAAGAGCAGCUGCAGGCCACGCACCACCACUGGGAUUGCUGUGACCUUCCUGCCUUGCCCCUGGGUCUUAAAUCACCAAACUCUAUGGCUCACACUGGGCUGACACUGCUGACCUUACAGCCUUGCAAAUGAUGUCAUCACCAUACGUUCUUCACUCAUGACGUGGCAUGGAUUUGACCAAAGGAAAUUCAAGUCAGCAUGAGCUGAAGAGCAUCUUCAGCAUCGAAACUAAGGAGGAUUGUUUUUCAGCUUCUUGCUGUAGCUAGAUGACAUGAUGGCAUUUAGUGUUCCAGGCCUGCAUUUGAAACCUCGACAUUUACCUUAACAAGGCAGGGGACUGUUGCCCCCUCCCAAGCACUUCAGCUUCCUUGCACGGCCUCUCCUUGGCUUCUGUCUGUCCCUGCCAGCAGCAUUUCAUGGGACCCAUCCUGACCCUCCAAGAAAGCAGAAAAGGGGGUUCCUGAUGUAAAAAGUAAAGAACUAUCAUCUGAAGAAGGUGGAUACUGAGGGGAGUAAAUGAAUGGCUCCUGCUCUUUCUCUGUCUGAAGCUUGGACUAUUCAUGAGAGGACUUCCUACUCCAAGACAUAAGGGAGUCUUGCUCAGAAGGAGGAGCUCCUGUCUGCUGAGGACACGGUUCCAUCCAAUGAGCUUCAUCAUGGCCUAUGAACAGCCAAAGGGUAAAAUGAUCAGAAAACUGGACAGUUUUUGACAGUCUACUAUUUUCAGAGAAGAGAAUGUCCCAGCUAGAAAUGCAAGUGGACGAGUGCCAACCCGAUGAGGCCAAUGAUUUGCGAGUGGAGACCUCUGAGGAACUUGGACCCUCGCUGAGUCCCCUUAGCCUCUUCACUUGCUUCUGCAUGGCCCGUCCUGUCAGUUAUUUCAGCAAUCCCUCAUCCCCUUGACCUCACCGCCUGCCCCUGGGGACAAUCACAAGAGGACUCCAUUUGACUCAGUCCAGCUGCCGCCUUCUCUGUCCUGCCUGAAGCAGCUGAGCGCUGUUGAGACCACACGGCCUCAUGGAUCUAGACGGGCAUGAGCUCCCGGCCUCUGCUUCAUCCUUGGUGCUGCCCCUCUUCAUGGGACCCAUCCUGACCCUCCAAGAAAGCAGAAAAGGAGGUUCCUGAUGCAAAACCUAAAGAGCUUUCAUCUGAGGAAGCCUCUGCCUUUUGGGUCAACACUGAGGGGAGUAAAUGAAUGGCACCUGCUCCUUCUCUGUCUGAAGCUUGGACUUCUCCUGAGAGGACUUCCUGCUCCAAGAUAGGAGGGAGUCUCACUCAGAAGAGGAAGGAGCUCCUGUCUGCUGAGGACACGGUUCCAUCCAAUGAGCUUUGUGUCUCCUUGUGAAGGCAAAUCUCCUGAAUAAAUGCUUACUUAGCACGCGCAUCCACUUGGAAUCCAUCAUCUGAAAUAGUUACUGUUCAUGGUGCAUUGACUUUAACUUCAAACUUGGGCAACACUGGAAACAAAGAGAAAUAUACUUCAGCCCCCACAAUCACUGGAGUCCUCAUUAGAGGGAAGCAGAAAGACCAAAGUCAGAGACGGAGAUGUGGCCGUAGAAGCAGAGGUCCAUGUGCUGCGGGGCCAUGAGCCAAGGAACCCACGCCGCCUCUGGGAACUGGGAAAGGCAAGGGAGCAACGUCUCCCUGGAGCUCCAGAGUGAGCCAGCCCUGAUGACACCGUGACUUCAGCCCUCGGAGACUGACUGUGGACAUCGGACCUCUGUCACUAUUUUCUGCAAACUAGGAAUAGAAGCAAGCUUCUUAACCUGAUGUAUCGCACCUUCAAAAAGCCUACAGCAAACAUCUUACUUAGUGAUGAAAAACUGAUUGCCUUCCCCAUAAGAUUGAGAACCAGGAACUGUCCAGGAAGACCCUGCAGUCUCUCUGCAGGCUCAUGGGAGCUCCCAGAACUGAGACAACACACGGAUCCAGGCCUGCUUCGAAGUCAGUGGGAUGCGGCCCUUGAAAGUCGAUGUAUUGGGUUCCUAGGGCUCUCGUGAAAACAUGCCACACCUGGCUGGUUUUAAACAACAGGAGUUUAUUCUGUCAGUUGAGAAGGCUACAAGUGCAAAAUCAAGGUAUUGACGGGAUGAGUUCCAACUAGAGGCUGUGAGGCAGAUCAACUCCAUGGCUCUCUCCUGGCUUCUGCUGGUUUCUGGCAACCGUUCACUUCCCAUGCCUGGUAGACACAUCACUCUAACCUCUGCCUCCCUUUUUCAUGGGCACAUUCGCGCCUGUGUGUGUGUGUGUGUGGAUGUGUGUGUUAAGGACAGCAAUCAUUAGACUAGAUGGGGCCCACUCUAAUCCACUGUGAGCUUCUCUUACUUUGGUAACAUCUGCAAAGACCCUAUUUCCAAACAAGGUCACAUUCCAUGUUCUGGGACUGUCUUCUGAGAGAUGUCUCCCCCAGGAUCCUUCCAGGUGGAAGGAUGCCCUUUGACCUGCAAAGCCAGGCAGAAAACCAGGAUCAGGGCAGGACAAGAGGAUGCUAGCCUGUGAUGGCUCCCACUCAGGUGGGAUGUGAGAAGUGCCUGUGGCCUGGGACACACCAACUUGCUCCCGUUACCUCAUCUGAGAUGGACUGCACAGUGUAUGUCCAGGGCCCAACCCGGUACACUGUGCCUUUGCAAUGCUGUCUCUGUGCUUUGGAAAUUCACUCAGCCCACUGCGUGGGGUGGUCUGAGGCGGGCCACAACCAUUUCUCAACCAUCCCUGAGUACCUGACCAGUAUCCCUCGGGGGUGACGACGACCGCCUACAUCUGGAGCAUGAGGAGCGUGUUUACCUGAUCCUAUCAUACAUAUCUAUAAGAAAUUGAAGCAUCCAAUUAUCCUUGGAAGGAAAAAAGAAAAACUUUAAAGAAAAAAAAAUAUGGCUAAACUUACAUUUUCCAAGUAGAAAAGAACAUGGUCAUUCUUGACUUCAGUCUUCAUCACUUGGCCCUUGUUUUCAAGCUUUGAAGAAAUUGUUAGGGAAGGAUAGAGAAUAGAUUUUAGAACAAAUGACAGCGCCACUGCAGAACUCAAUGUCCACUCUUUUCUACGUCACGUUCUGUUUUAUGGAACAUUCCUUGGUGCCGUGAUGUUUUCAUAAACACAGGUAGCAACUAAAGAAAAAUAUAUGAUGAACCAUGGGAAAUACUGACUGCUAAUUGGUACAAAUUAAGUAAACCAGCUCUCCAGUGUUAGCGCAAAAAUACAAAGGUGAAUGUUGAAGAAGAACUCUAUAGUUUUGUUUUGCUAAACUAUGGCUGAACAAGUAUUUAUUUUAUCUUUAUACUCUAUGUAGCUGUCUUUGUGCUGAAAGAUUAGGCUUCUAUUAUUUACCUCUUCAAUGGAUGACAUGGUUGGAGUAAAUCCUGAUAGCAUUUUUACAUCUAUAACCACCAUACUGGAUUUAUUGCGAAUUCCAGUGUAUCUGAAAAUUUUAAGAAAACACUCGUUUAGAUAUCAAUUUUAAAAAGUGACUUAUCUCAUAAUGAGAGUGCCAGGUGGAUAAAUACUAAUUGGCUAGAAAUCUGGAGGACAGGUAAAAGCUGAAGAGAAAACAUCGGAAGAAAGUCAUUUUCAAGCAUCUGUGAAUAGGCACGACCAGAAUGAUAAUGAAAGAGAUGAUACAUAGCAACAGAAAUUGGAGCAAAUAAUGAAUUAUCUGGACAUGAAAUCUUCCCCAAACCCUGCUUUUAAGCUUACCUGCAGUCUCAAAGUUUGAACUGAUAAACAGAGCUUCUAAAUCUUUUACAUAUACUUAGGUUAGUGUUAGAGUUGCAUAACACUUAGAGGACAUCUUUGCUUAAAAGGUGGUAUAUGAGCAUAAUUAGAGAGUAGAUGUGUCCCCAGGAGAACUUCUAGCUCAGUUUCCUGCUUCUGGAUAAGACUAUGGGGGUGUGAAGUUGAGAGUUCCAUAGUUCAUCAGGGCAUGGUUGCUCACACCUGUAAUCCCAGCACUUCUGGAGGCCAAGGUGGGUGGAUCACUUGAGGGUCAGAGUUCAAGACCAGCCUGGCCAAUAUGGCAAAACUCUGACUCUACUAAAAAUAGAAAAAUUAGCCAGGUGUGGUGGUGCACGCCUCUAAUCCCAGCUACUCAGGAGGCUGAGCCAUAAGAAUCCCUUGAACCCAGGAGGUGGAAGUUGCAGUGAGCUGAGAUUGUGCCACUGUGCCACUGUACUGCAGCCUGGGUGACAAAGUAAGACUCUGUCUCAAAAACAAACCCAAAAAAGAAAAAGAGUUCCCCAAUUCACUGAGUUCUUAGCCCUGGAGCUCAAGCGAUUUUUAUUUAGAAAUUCUAAAAAAUAUCUCCCAAACUAAUUUUACUCAAUGUUUUCCACAUAUUAACUAAGGCUAAAAGCCUUUAGCAUCUAUAAAUCAUGCUUGAAUUCAAGAGGAUCAUUUUGUUUUUCUAUUCUGAAAAGUAAAAAUCUAAAAUGUUACUCUUUACAGUUACAAAAGAAACAUUUGUGGGCUUGCUACUAUAUGACCAUGCAUGCUUGUCUUGAGAAAGAAAUAUAGAAUCUCUGUUUUUCAAAACUAGGAGUACUUCCAUACAACAGAAUAAAAAGUAUCAUUGAAACAUCAGUGCAGUGAAAGCUUUCAAAUCCUGCUCACAUAGACUGCAUGUUUUCUUGCCUCAUUUUAGCUCUGAUUUAGCUGAAGAUGUACUAAAUUGUGGUGUCCGGACAGAGGGCUAAAAAGUGACUGUGCUGUAGAAUUGUCACCACCAACAUGAGAACUCAUCAUAUUACCAUGAUUUAUAUUUUGUUAUUUCACUACUGUUUGAACUUUUAAAAUAUUUUACCAUCUUGUUCACAUGGGAGUUACUGUCAAAAUAUGACACUUACUUGAGGGUCACUGUGAGGUCAAAAGCAGUCGAAGAGUAGUUCUUUACUAUUUCCAAGGAAAGAGAAAAUCCAGAUGCCUUCUUAGGUAGGAGAACAUUGUACUUAAGGGUGGCCUAGAAAGGAUAGCAAAUUAUAAGAAAACCCAUCCUGUAUUAAGAAUUAUACAGUCUGACUAGAGUCAGUAGUAAUGUGAUUUUACAUUUUAAAAUAACCAAGAGUAUACUUCGAUCAUUGGUAACACAAUGGAUAAAUGCUUGAGGUGAGCAUACCCCACUUGCCCUGAUGUGAUUCUUACACGUUGCAUGCCUGUAUCAU